rnacentral:rRNA from 1 species
ACAUAUGGCCAUACUACCCUGAACAUGCCCGAUGGUCAUUUGAUCCUGGGAGCAGAAGAGGGUUGGGCCUGGCUAGUACUUGGAUGGGAGACUGCCUGGGCAUACCAGGUGCUGUAGGCU